rnacentral:rRNA from 1 species
GACGAACGCUGGCGGCGUGCUUAACACAUGCAAGUUGUACGGUGCGACAUGGAAGCUUGCUGAAGUGUCGUAGAGUAGCGAACGGGUGAGUAAUGCAUGAGAAUCUGCCCUUUGGAGGGGGACAACAGCUGGAAACGGCUGCUAAUACCCCGUAAGCCGGGAGGUGAAAGGUACGCGAGUACUGCCGGGGGAUGAGCUCAUGUCCUAUCAGCUGGUUGGCGGGGUAACGGCCCACCAAGGCGACGACGGGUAGCCGGCCUGAGAGGGUGACCGGCCACACUGGAACUGAGACACGGUCCAGACUCCUACGGGAGGCAGCAGUGGGGAAUUUUGGGCAAUGGGGGAGACCCUGACCCAGCGACGCCGCGUGAGGGAAGACGGCCUUCGGUUGUAAACCUCUUUGUACGGGAAGAUAAUGACGGUACUGUACGAAUAAGUACCCGGCUAACUACGUAGCCAGCAGCCGCGGUAAGCAUACUCGUA